UUUCCAGGUUCCCCAGUAAGGCUCCCAGUGAGCCGGAGUAUUUUCCUUAUAUGAUCAGGCUCUAUUGGGGGCGGUGCUGCUUGCCUGGAGCCUGAGAGGAUUAUGAAAGGUGUCAGGCGGAGUGGAGCGAGGGGACCUGGUG
ensembl:scaRNA